UUUGUUCCCACUUUAAUUCACUUCUCUUUAAUCUAAUGAUGGAGUCUAUAUUGUUGCUAAGAAUACACCAGUGAGAGAAUUUAAGAAACAAAUUAUUGAAGAAGCAAGAGUACAAAGAAUUGACUGUGUCCUUGAAUUAGACAAAAAGAGAUUACUAAAGAAGAAUUGAAGGUCACCUGGUAGAGUGUAUCUUGAUCAUCAAUUGAUUGAGAGAUAUUCAUAUAUAUGCUGGUAGUGAAAUGUAUAUGGAAAUAUUGAAAGAACCUGAAAAGAUGAAGCUCCCAACACAGAUGCAUGCAGGUGUAUGUUAGAAGAUGGUGUCCAUCAGAAUUUUCAGUUGAUCCAACAGAAGAAAGUUAAGUGGAGUUCCUGUUGAUGCCAUUUCUGUUGCAACAUAUUUGAGAUCAUUUCCAGCUGUGAUAUCACAUCUCGAUAUUAAGAAUGAGUUGGAAUGGAAUCAAGCAUCACUGUAUGAUGCUGAUGGAGAUGUCAUUUAUUACAAAGACAAUAGAAAACAAUUGAAGGAGAUCACAACUGAAGAAAGAGCAGGAUUUAAAAUGACAGAAAGCAAAAGGUCUGUUGCAUAAGACCAAUACUGCAGUAGCCAAUAAGCUGUCUUGCAUUCUGCAUGUGGCUUUAUGUGUAUGUUCAUCUUUAGGUUAUAGUGUUGCUGUUUAUGGCAUUGGGUCAUUGUAUGAUGUUCCAGGAGACAAAGGGGAUGAGGAUUGAGUACAUUUAGUGGCAAAGCGUGUAUAUGUGGCUUGUAGGCUGUCUCCCCUCUUCAGCUAUUGGUGAUAUUAUUUUAGAUCCAAUUGUGUUUGCAUUGUCUUUUUGAGCUUUGGUAGCUUUAUUAUCAUCAUC